CCUACGGGAGGCAGCAGUAGGGAAUAUUGCUCAAUGGGCGAAAGCCUGAAGCAGCAACGCCGCGUGGAGGAUGACGGUUUUCGGAUUGUAAAAUCUUUUUGUUAGAGAAGAUAAUGACGGUACGUAACGAAUAAGCACCGUCUAAUUCCGUGCCAGCAGCCGCGGUAAUAUGGAGGGUGCAAGCGUUACUCGGAAUCACUGGGCGUAAAGAGCGCGUAGGCGGGAUAGCAAGUCAGAUGUGAAAGCCUAUGGCUUAACCUUAGAACUGCAUUUGAAACUGUUAGUCUAGAGUACGGGAGAGGUAGGUGGAAUUCUUGGUGUAGCGGUAAAAUGCGUAGAGAUCAAGAGGAAUACUGAUUGCGAAGGCGACCUGCUAGAACGUAACUGACGCUGAUGCGCGAAAGCGUGGGUAGCAAACAGGAUUAGAUACCCUUGUAGUC
rnacentral:rRNA from 1 species